AUGAAAAUGGAGUGAUGGCAGUUGAUACAAGUCUUGACAUCGAUCCAAAGCAAAAUAAUGGAACAACUGAAAUAAGACUCUUCGAUAAAGAACUAAAGGAGGACCACUUGGUUAAUGUCGAUCUACCUGACCUUAAGGAAAACAGAUUUUGUCAAAACAGCUUGGUGCAUUUUACUGAGAUUGCAAGCUUUUCCUGAUAAAAGGCGCAGUAGAGUUGGAGCAUGACUCCUUUGCAUCUUGAUCAAGAGACAAAAUGAACAAUAUCCAACAGAAAGUGGUUUCAACACCGACAGGUCUCCACGCGGAGGAAGAUGGAGGGAAUCAUCUCUGAGCUGGUGUGUGUUUAGCAGGGGUCCCCAGAGGUCAUUUGUUGGCGUUUCACUGUUUAACACUUGCGUCGAUAGCUCACUCGAAAACAAAGCCAUUACUGAUAAUGCUUGCAGAUGUGCACGCAGGCUGGAGACUGCUGAGGUAACAAAUAACUCGGCUCGCUGAGGAGCCAUCUGGAUUAUUCGAUAAGCUGGGAGAAUGCAGGAAGGGCUCAUUGAUGGUUUGCCCAGUAAAGGGGCUCGUAUUUAGCAAUCGGGGCAGCAGGUCUUUUGGGGCCUGGGGCUUUGGUUCUGGAGAGGAGUAACUGGGGGAUCCUGACAUAGAAAAGGGAAUAUAAAUCCUGAUGCCUCACCAACAUGUAGCAUUUGAUAAGGCACAGUUGCAGAUGUGGAGGGAACCGUUAGAAAGCUCAGCACAGUCCUGGUAAAAGGAAGUAGAUUGUUUACAGAGCCACUGCACAUUGGAUAAAAUCCACUUUUGUGCAGAGGACUAGCACAGAUAACAUCUAGGUUUUGAAUGAGAUUUUCAUCUUAGGCUGCCUCUCAGUGCAGGGGUGGAGUUUAUCCUUUGAGCCUGUGUGUGUGAUGGUGCUACAGCAGGAUUUCAACUCUGUAUUUGCUGUUUUCCUGGCAAACAUGUAGGUAAAUGUUGCAUUAAGCAGACAUUUAUUUUUAAUAACAUCGACAUUUAUCUUGCUUCUCUCCUGACAUUUUUAACAUCUUCCCAGAUAUCUGCACAGCUAUUUCUGUUCUAAAAUUUGCACUAAUUAAUUGUUUUUCUGUGUAUCUAAGGGAACAGCUAUCAGCAAAGAGAAAGGAAGGCACUACAGUUACGCAUUUUGAUUAAAGAUAAAUUGAAAUACUUAAAGACGUGGUAUUUAACUUAGAUGCUUAAGGGCUGAAAGCCUACAUCCUGAUACCUGUUAAAAAAUACCUCGCUACCUAAAUGAUCUCUAUUCCAGGCAUUUCUGACAUGACUAAGGACAGUCGUGGAAUGUGGCCCGCGGUAAUUACUGUUUUGAGACAAGGGGGACGCUUUCUGCUCACCCAGAAAUAAAUCAUUUUGAUCGCUCUUCUCCUGUCGCAGAGCUCUGUUUGUAUAAUUUAAGAUGCAUAGCAGAGCAGGGAGGCCUUUUAUAGUUGGACCAUGCCAGCAGUCAGCAGCAAGGCAGCUAACGCGAGCGAUGGGCGAGUGGAGCAGCGGCAAAAGCUUCUGGAGCCAGCUAGCCUCAGUGAUGCUGCGCGGUGCCGCACGCCCUGCAUCUUUCAGGCAUCAGCACUGAUCCUUCUGGAGGCCUGUGUGCCAUGACUGAGUGCUGCUGGAGAGGCUUUUGGAGAGGAAGGAGAAAGUGCCCCCUUUGAGAGCACGUUUGCUGAAAGCUGUGGAUGGGUCCGCUCCAUACACCCAUGGGGUAGGCUCACGAGCAGAGAGCUUCUUGCUG